AGAUUAAACAUAAGAGUUUGAUCCUGGCUCAGAUUGAACGCUGGCGGCAUGCUUUACACAUGCAAGUCGAACGGCAGCACGGAGAGCUUGCUCUCUGGUGGCGAGUGGCGAACGGGUGAGUAAUGCAUCGGAACGUACCGAGUAAUGGGGGAUAACUGUCCGAAAGGAUGGCUAAUACCGCAUACGCCCUGAGGGGGAAAGCGGGGGAUCUUAGUGACCUCGCGUUAUUUGAGCGGCCGAUGUUGGAUUAGCUAGUUGGUGGGGUAAAGGCCUACCAAGGCGACGAUCCAUAGCGGGUCUGAGAGGAUGAUCCGCCACAUUGGGACUGAGACACGGCCCAAACUCCUACGGGAGGCAGCAGUGGGGAAUUUUGGACAAUGGGGGGAACCCUGAUCCAGCCAUGCCGCGUGUCUGAAGAAGGCCUUCGGGUUGUAAAGGACUUUUGUUAGGGAAGAAAAGCCGGGUGUUAAUACCACCUGGUGCUGACGGUACCUAAAGAAUAAGCACCGGCUAACUACGUGCCAGCAGCCGCGGUAAUACGUAGGGUGCGAGCGUUAAUCGGAAUUACUGGGCGUAAAGCGAGCGCAGACGGUUAAUUAAGUCAGAUGUGAAAUCCCCGAGCUCAACUUGGGACGUGCAUUUGAAACUGGUUAACUAGAGUGUGUCAGAGGGAGGUAGAAUUCCACGUGUAGCAGUGAAAUGCGUAGAGAUGUGGAGGAAUACCGAUGGCGAAGGCAGCCUCCUGGGAUAACACUGACGUUCAUGCUCGAAAGCGUGGGUAGCAAACAGGAUUAGAUACCCUGGUAGUCCACGCCCUAAACGAUGACAAUUAGCUGUUGGGACACUAGAUGUCUUAGU
rnacentral:rRNA from 1 species